rnacentral:rRNA from 1 species
GAAGAACGCUGGCGGCGUGCUUAACACAUGCGAGUCGAACGGAAAGGCCCUGCUUUUGUGGGGUGCUCGAGUGGCGAACGGGUGAGUAACACGUGAGUAACCUGCCCUUGACUUUGGGAUAACUUCAGGAAACUGGGGCUAAUACCGGAUAGGAGCUCCUGCUGCAUGGUGGGGGUUGGAAAGUUUCGGCGGUUGGGGAUGGACUCGCGGCUUAUCAGCUUGUUGGUGGGUAGUGGCUUACCAAGGCUUUGACGGGUAGCCGGCCUGAGAGGGUGACCGGCCACAUUGGGACUGAGAUACGGCCCAGACUCCUACGGGAGGCAGCAGUGGGGAAUAUUGCACAAUGGGCGGAAGCCUGAUGCAGCAACGCCGCGUGCGGGAUGACGGCCUUCGGGUUGUAAACCGCUUUCGCCUGUGACGAAGCGUGAGUGACGGUAAUGGGUAAAGAAGCACCGGCUAACUACGUG